UGAAGAAAGUGGGUUGCUCACCACCAGCUUCAGAGCUUUCGUAGUUGUUAAUUGUGGAAAUUUUGGAGCCCUUCCUAAGUGCAUGGUCAGCAUCACCUCCCUUCGACAAUUAAGUGUGUGCAACUGUUCGGCUGACAUAUCAUUUCCAUCGGAGGGAUUCCCUACCAAUCUCACAUCACUUGCAAUCUCAAACGCACCCAAAAUUUAUAGGUCACUUGUGGAAUGGGGAUUAAAUAGACUCACCUCUCUUCAAGAAUUGACCAUCGGAGGUGGAGGAUGCUCAAACGUGGUGUCGUUCCCAGAAGAAGGGAUUGGAAUGAUGUUGCCUCCUUCUCUCACCUGUAUCAAGCUUUUCAAAUUUGAGAACCUGGAAUUCAUGUUAUCCGAGGGCUUUCAAGACCUUGCCUCUCUUAAAGGAUUGGUGAUCGAUAAUUGUCCCAAGCUAACAUCUCUUCCGGAAAAAGACAUGCUUCUCUCGCUUGGACGUUUAUGUAUUUACAGGUGUCCGUUGCUGAAAGAAGAGUGCUUAAGCGAUAAAGGACGAGAGUGGUCUAAGAUUUCCCACAUAGCCCUUGUUGAAAUUGAUUUUAAAAGUGUAAUCCCGGGGAAAUCAAAUUGAAAGAUGAGCUACAAAAUCUGUGAUUGGUUUCUUCAGAGUCAUGGGGCAGGUACAAAAAGCCAUUUCAAACAUUUCUAACUUUCCUUAUGAACAAGAUAAUAAUAGGAAUUAGUAUAAAUUUAUUUAUUGAUAUUUGCAGGCAUUGAAAGCUAAGUUGGGGUGGAAGUGGGCUUUCAGAAAGAUCCUUUGGAGGAAAAGUAAAAAGAUGUCACUUCUCUUCGGUAUUUGUAUAUAACCAUACUGAUGCCAUUGAAGAGAAUUUGUCAUUUUGGAGAAUAUUUUGGAUUCUUAGAUGUGAUGAAUUUGGUAUUGUUUAAACCAUAUGAUAUAAGCAUGUGAAACAUUAAUUAUUUCCAUCAAUUUGCAGUAUUCCUGUCUGAUCUUUUUGAUAUAUUUAUUUAUUUUUACAGGUGAUGAAAGCUAAAUCGACGAGGUAGUGUUGAUUUCAGAAGAUCUUUUCAAGAAAACUAAUGAAGACAUGGGGUAGAGAGUUGGAGAAUAAACAAGGAAAAAAGAAGUCGAAGAGCGGGUGCUAUACUUUCUUCGUCCUUAGAACAAGUUUAAGCAACUCAUCAUUAAGAAUUGAGGUGGUGCAAAAUUCUCAUCUUGGAUGGCAGAUUCUUGUUUCCAAAACUUAUAUUUAAACCAAAUGAUAUAAGCAUGCAAAACUUAACUUAUUUCCAUCAUUUUGCAUGAUUCCUGUCUCAUCUUUCUUUCUCAUUUUGCAUUAAUAGUGUUUGAUUGGAUCUGCAGAGUACCCUUUGUUAGACAUAGUUAAAUACAUGAGAGUUCUUUGGUAGCCAUUGCUUCGUCGAGGACCGCACAGACUAACAUUUCCUGGAAAUAACAGAGGGAGAUACAGGACCGCUCAGGCUAACACUCAAACCACAGGUGUGAAAAUUUAAACCUUGACCAAUUUGAUAGCUAUUUAGUUCGAUAAUAUGUGAUUGUCCUGAGGAACAAGUUGAUAAUAGCAAUCAAUAUUAUCUUUGCAGGUGAAAGAAAGCUAAAUUGGUGAGGUAGCAUUCAACUGAGCUACUUUAGCUUAUUUGAUUUUUAUAAAGAGGUUAGUUGAUUCUAUUAUGCAACAUUUAUUCAGCAACAUAAAUGCUAUGUUUUCAUCUGCAUGUUCUAAUUAUACCACUAAGCUUCCUUUCUUUAUACCGACCUUGUAUUCAGGAUUGUGGAUACCAUCCUGGUGACAUUGCUAUGCCAAUCCAAAAUUCAUUCAAUCUACAAAGUAUAAAUGUUGAUGAGAUGUUAUUGGCAUAAUGUGAUUGAGUGUCACUUUGCAAAAUUACCACACUUCAAUGGGUGGAAUUUGUCAUUUAGUAUUUUUUAUUUUGGCCGUAGAUGUAGGGAUUAUUCCCGAACCAUGUAUAUUAUAAUGUUAUUUAUUUUAUUUUCUUAUACGGUUUGACAAAUGGUCAUGUGGCGUUGACAACCCCUAAUUUCGGUUUUCGCCGUUUGCUGUUUUUCAGAUUUCUCGUUACAUACCUAGUUCGAUUUCUAUGAGAACGCAACUACAAGACCCCCGAGACUUAAAUAUGACAAAUAAAAUGAUUAUAACAAUAUCGAGGCACAAGAUAACUAAGAAUCGAACUCUUUCAACACACCAAAACUCUUCCAUACUCUUAUCGUAAAUUCAAACCGUAAUCACACGAAAUUACGAUGUUGAAGGAGCACCCAACAUCUCACGACCCUCGCCUAAACGCAACGAAUUAAUUAAUUAACAAUCAAAGAAUUUAGCAACAUCACUAGCAUCCCAGUAUUCCCAAAUUUAACAACAUCACUAACUAAAACGUAACCUAAGAGGAGAGAAAUUGACGCAACCAAGGAAGGGACAAAUUGGAAACCCAACGAGCAGCAACCCAACGUUUAAAGCGAAACUCCCAAAGCAAAAAUUGAAAGAACAGUUGAAUAAAUGAAACAAGAAAAUCAAAAUUUGGAAUUUGAAAUUGCUGCGUGGCUUAGGGAAAUAACAAAAGGGGAAACGUGGGUUUUGGGGUUUUUAACAAAAAUAAAUUAAACAAAAGCAAAACAUAAAAUGGAAUUAAACAUAAAUUAAAUACUUACUUUAUUUAUUUCAAAACAAACCUACGAUUGAAUUGAGAUUUAAACUCAAUAUCUCAGGUAUAGAAUCAAAGCACUUGACCACUGAUACAGAUACUUAAAUAUUAUGAAAUUCGUUAAAACAAAAUUUAAUAAAUCAGGGCAUUAGACAAGAUUUCUUUUGAGUUUAAGAGCUUUGCCAAAAUGAAGUAAUAUUAUUUUCAUGUACAGUGUAACCUCCAUAAUCUAACUGUAACGUUAAAAUUGGAUUUGGGAUGUUACAAAUCACUUAGCCCCCGAAUUUUUUUGGAUUCAAUCAUUAGAAUACUCGAGUGUUCCAUUAUAACAAUAAAAAUAUUACAACUCGACUUAUCACAUUUGCAGUACACAGAUUAUUGAUUAUUUUUUGUGUUGAUUCUUAGGCCUAGCGUGUGCUAUCAAGUUGGUGGCUCCAUUGUCAGGAGUUUGUGUGUGAUUGAGUGAUUUGCUUGAUUAAUGCAUGUUUACUAAGGAGAUAAUUAGCAAAACUUAAGUCUAUAAAUAUGAUGCUUGUUUUUUCUUGCAAUUGCUUGUUUAUUUUAUUCGUUAAGUGUUUUUGAAAUUGGAAACUUGUACAAUAAUGUUGACAUCACCAUUUUACAAUGGAGAACUAUUUUUACAAUGAUCUUUCUUCUCAUUUAUUCUAACUUCACAAAGUUAUUGAAUCUCAUACCUACUCGAUCUUGAAAUGUACACAACCAUCGUCACAUUCUACAAUUGCUUCAUCGAAGAGAAUGUACACAAAAAACAUUGGGUUAUUCAUUUUCAAAACGAUUUUUGUUUUCUCUUCUACUGAACACUAAUAUUUCUCUCUUUUUUAUUCUUUUUCGGUUGAACAAUUAGAGCAAUGUUAAAAAAAAAGUAUAUGUAGGGACUGGUGCAGCCAAAGAGCUUGGCGGCAACAGAAAAAUUUUAAUGGAAAAAAAAAUAGCCUAGUGUCGCCAAUGAGAAGAAUGGCACCAAAAAAAUUUGAACUUUCUGACAAAAAAUACAUUAGUGCCGCCAAUGGCAAGGGUGACAAAAAAAAAUCUAUUUUUUAUUUAAAAUAUUAUUUUUUCUGACAGGUUUUGUCAAGGAGAAUAGCGACACAAAAAAAGCUUUAUGCAAAAUCUUUGACACAUUUUAAAAAAAAACAUUGGUAUCGCUAAUGAUAACGACAACACCCAUUAAAAUAUUUUUUACUUUUUUUUUCUUUUUCUCCUAGAAUAUCAGUAUUUUUGACUGGUGGGCGAUUAUACAUAUUGGUGUCGCCAAUGACUACAAUAACACUCAAAAAUUAAUUUUUUAUUAAAACGGACAAUAAUUUAGUAAUUAUUAGGGGUGGUGCUAUUAAUGGCAAUAACAACACCAAGUUUUACUGUAAUAAAAGAAUUAUUUACGUAAAUAAUUUUGAAAGAGAAUAAUUUUUGUAAUUUAAAAAAAGGCCCGUUAGGUUAGGUUAUAUUUUAUUUUUGUUUUAUGGAUAUUCAUGUUCAAUAAUAUUAUAUUUUUCGUAUGUUUGGAAAUGGUUUGCACAUUUAUGAAUAAUUACAUUUCACAGGUAUUCAUUUUUUUUAAAAAGAAAAUUAGGUAGUCUUGUAGAAAGUUAAUAAUUUUAAAGUUAAUAAUUACAUGUUCAAUAAUUUUAAAUACAUUGAUUAAUGGUUUCAUUUUGUUAUUAAGUAUUAUGAGGGUGUUAAUAUCUUCCUCAAUGGAAAAUUACUCUCGAACUCAAAUUUUAUUUUGUAGACAAAAAAAUAUCCUUUCAAUAAAUUUUAAUUAAAAUAAUAUACUUUUACUUUUGAAAUGGUCAAUCACACUUAAAGAAAAAACAUUAAUGUCAAACUCUAUAUAUUUAAAAUUAAAUUGAGUGUAGAAAGCCAAAGUUUUGGUUGAAGUCAAUGUAUUUCUGGAUCUGGAACUCAUGCAUGGAGGGAGAAAGGUUUUGAAGACUGCAUUUAUAGCUUAACAGGUGUAAAGCUGGAUUGCAGACUUAGGCUUGGGAUAUUGCUUCAAUAUUUAUUUUUUUUAAUGCAUCAGUAUUUUAUUUGUAAAAAAAUAAUACUUAUAUUUUACUGUUUAAAUUUUAAAUAUUUAAAAUAAACUUGACAUUCAUAAGUUAGGCUGAAUAAAAUUUUAUUUGAUUCGAAAAAAUUUAACUAUUUUUUAUUAAAAUUAAGUGACCUGAAUACUUAUUUAAAUAAAUACAGUGAUAAAAUAAAAUAAAAGAAGAAUCCAUAUAAAAUUAUAUUUCUUUUAUUUAUUUUAGAAUAAGGUUUUUUAAACCUUAUUAAAUUCUAUCUAUUUAAUAUUGAUUAGAAUAAGGUAUUUCAAUCUUACUAAAAUAUGGCUUUAUAAGCCUAUAAAUAAACAUAGUCUAUCCUCUUGUAAUUAUUCGAAUUCGAUAUAGUGAAUUUUUUUUUCCUCUGCCCGUGCUUUUUUCCCGAAAGGUUUUCCAUGUAAAAUCUUUGUGUGUUUUUAUUUUUUUAUUUUAUUUUUUAUUUUCACAUUUUUAAAUUUUGAGUUAUUUGAAUUGUUACAAUCAACUCGAAUAAGUAAUUCGGGUUUUGAGUUCGAAUUAAGUUGAAUUUUACAAUUUAAAUAACUCAAAUAAUUUAAAUAACAGAUUGGUAUAAAUACCAUUUUGGUCCAAAUUUAAAAAUAAGCAAAUUAGUUUCUUUUUACAAAAAAUUACGAAAAAAAAUUCAAACUCAAAAUAUUUAUAAAAAAAUUCAAAAUUCAUAUCUUUUAAAAAAUUAUAAAAUUUUCAAAAAAAUUAUAAAAAUAUAUAAAGAAAUUUAAAAAUUAAAAAAUUUCUAAAAUAAUAAUUUUGGGACCUAAAUAAAUUAAUUAAUGAUUUAAGUUUAUCAUAAUAAAAUAUUUAUUAUUAUUAUUUAUUAAAAAUAACUGUAUAUAACUAAAAUUCAUUGAAUAAAAUUAAUUUAUUAUUAACUUAUGCAUUAAAACAUAAAACUUGUAUGGCGUAAAUAAAUACAAUUAGAUAGUCAUAAUUACUGAAUUAAUUUACAGAAUAUAAUAUAUUAAAUAUGCGUUAUUUUUAGCCGGCGAAUAAAAUCAUGAAGCGAAAAAUUCGUACGGGAUAAAAUAAAGAAAUUGGAGGGGACGUUCAAAAAACGAGACCUGUUCUCCACUUUCUUGUGUUUCCCACUCUCAUUUGUCACUAUUCAUUGACUUCAACUCUCUUGCCUGUUAACCCCACAAUCCAUCUCCGUUUCUUUCCCUCAAUUUUCGUUUCCUUCUUCAUCUCUCUUUUUGAUUUCUUUGUCCCAAUUCCACCAUGUCUGUCUUUGGAGAGGCUGUUCUUUCUGCCUUUUUGGAGCUCUUGUCUGCCAAGUUGCUUGACUCUAUACUCAACUUUCUGGCCGAUUACGGGCAAGUCCACCAGCAACUCAAGCUGUGGCAAUCCAUAUUACCCGAGAUCAAAGCAGUGUUGAACCAUGCAGAGGAGAAGCAGAUCAAGGACGAGGACGAGGGUGUGCAGAAUUGGCUGGGCGAUCUCUAAGACUUAGCUUACGAUGUGGAUGACAUCUUGGACGAGUUCGCUUACCAAGAGUUACGUCUCAAGCUUCAAAAAACUCAAGCACAAGCCAACAUUAGUAAGAUACAGAAACUCAUUCCAACCUGCUGUACUGGUGGUAAUUUCUCUCCAAUCUCUUUUAUGUUCAAUGCUAAGAUGAUUUCAAAGAUAGAAGCAAUCACUGAUAGACUGAAUAGUUUGAACACUAGAAGAAAUAGUUUGGGGUUGAGUGAGAUCAUGUCUCAAGGCGCAACUUCCAAGGGAAAGAAGCCCAGGCUGCAACCAACUUCCUUGAUUGAUGGGGCUGUGGAGUAUGUUGGUAGAGCCAAUGAGAAGCAAAAAAUGCUUGAGUUGCUCAAAAGUAACAAUUCCGAUGGAGUUUGUGUCCUUUCCAUUGUUGGCAUGGGAGGGAUAGGGAAAACGACACUGGCUCAGCUUGUUUACAAUGAUCCCAGCAUUAAGGAGUCUUUCUAUCACAAGUCCUGGGUAUGCGUUUCUGAUGACUUUGAUGCUGUUAACAUAACAAAGACGAUUUUAAGAUCCCUCGAUGCUGACUCACGAGAUGAGAAUGACUUGAACUUGCUUCAAGUCAUGUUGAAGGAGAAGUUAUCCGGUAAAAGGUUCUUGCUUGUUUUAGAUGACAUUUGGAAUGAGAGUUACCGUGAUUGGACCAUCUUACGUCGUCCAUUUGGAGCAGGAACCAAGAUUAUUGUAACAACUUGACUCCAAAAGGUUUCAUCUAAUGUAGAUCCGGUGAAAGCUUUUUUCUUGGAUAAACUCUCGCAUCAUGAUUGUUUAUCCAUAUUUGCUCAGCAUGCAUUGAAAGCAAGAAACUUUGAUGGGCAUCCCCAAUUUAAAGAAAUUGGAGAGAACAUAGUGAGAAGGUGCAACGGCUUACCUUUGGCAGCAGAAGCCAUUGGAAGCUUAUUACGGACAGUUACGGAUCAUAGUGAAUGGGAAAAAGUAUAUGAGAGCGAGAUAUAGGAGCUACCAGAAGAUCCACAUGGCUUAAUUCCAGCUUUGCGAUUAAGCUACCAUUAUCUUCCCCCUCAUUUGAAGCGAUGCUUUGCAUACUGUUCCAUAUUUCCUAAAGAUUAUGAAUUUAAAGAAGAAGAGAUAAUCUUGUUGUGGAGAGCAGAAGGUUUCUUGCAAUUAAAAGCUAAAAUUCAAGGCAAAGGUCUUGGAAACCAGUAUUUUCAAGAUCUAGUGUCAAGGUCAUUUUUCCAAAUAUCUAGUAAAGAUAAAUCCCGUUUCGUGAUGCAUGAUCUUAUGAAUGAUUUAGCUCAAUUAGUUGCAGGAGAAAUAUGCUGCAGAUUGGAAGGUGAAAAGCAACAAAAGUUUUCGCGUCGUUCUCGUCACUCAGCUCAUGUUAGCGAUGAUUGGAAUCACAGUGUAAAGAAGUUUGAAGCAUUUUAUCAAAUGACUUCUUUACGUACUUUCUUACCAUUACCCUUAAUGGUUCCAAGAUAUGAGGUAUUCUAUUUAUCUAAUGUUGUCUUGGAUGAUUUAUUGUCAAGACUUAGCUACUUAAGGGUUCUUUCUUUGCGUGGGUAUGAGAUCUAUGAUUUGCCCGACUUUUUUGAAAAUUUAAAACAUCUACGCUACUUAAAUUUUUCUAGAACCCGAAUUAAUUGUUUACCUGAUUCUUUGUGUACUCUUUAUCAUUUGGAGACUUUAAUAUUAAGAGAUUGUUCAAAGCUCAAAAAUUUACCCUCGAAGAUCGGAAACCUUGUCAACUUGCAUUUUCUUGAUAUUAGAGGUGCGGACUCAAUAGAAAGGAUGCCCUCCGGAUUUGAUCAGCUCACCAAACUUCAAAUCUUAUCUAAUUUUGUUAUAGGGGAAGGUGAUGGACUUCUGAUUAGAGAAUUGAAAAAUUUGUCAAACCUUAGAGGUAAUUUUUGUCUUUCUGGAUUGGAGAAUGUUAAUGGUCAAGAUGCGAGGGAAGCUAAGUUAAAUGAGAAGCUAGGGAUUGAUGGGUUAGAACUACAAUGGGGUACAGGCUUGGAGAAUAGUACAAGGAAAAAAGAAGUUGAAGAGCGGGUGUUGGACUUUCUUCGUCCUCAGAAAAAGCUUGAGCAACUCAUCAUUGAGAAUUACGGGGGUGUAAAAUUCUCGUCUUGGAUAGCGGAUUCUUCCUUCAAGAAUUUAUCGUCUUUGAAGCUUCGCAAUUGUAAAAACUGCAAGUCACUACCAUCAGUUGGAAGGUUUCCAUUGUUAAAAGAUCUUUCAAUUAUUAGUUUCGAUCAAGUACAGAAGAUUGGUGUUAAGCUCUUCGGAGAAAAUCAAUUGAAUCCAUUUGCAUCAUUAGAGAUUCUGUCUUUUGAGAGUCCUCCAAACUGGAAGGAGUGGGACACUUGCGAAGGAGACGAGAAGGUUUUGAAACUCCCCAGACUUCGUGAGCUUUCAAUCAAAACCUGUCCUCAAUUGCUGGGAAGGUUGCCUACCCAUCUUCCUUCCUUGCAAAAACUUGAAAUUCAUAGCUGUACGAGAUUGGUUGUUUCAAUAUCAAGUUUCCUGUCACUGUGUAAAUUCAGUAUACGAGGGUGUGCAGAACUGGUGGAUGAUUGCUCUUCUCCUGCAAAGGAGCUUUCCUCUUUGCAAACCUUGUCUCUUUCUAACAUUUCAAAGUUUAAUAUUCCAGCAGAUAGGAUAAUGUUGAGGUUUGGAAACUCAGAACAUUUUGAAAUUGAUGCCUGGGAGGAGUUGGCAUCUCUAUCACAGCAUGGGUUUAGUUUAGUUGGACAUCGUUUCAUUUCCGUUUGGCAUUGUCCUCAACUGCAGUCUUUGGAAGCCGAGGAAGCCGAAUUGCAGCCUAACAAGAUUUCACAUGUUGAAUCUCUGAAGAUAGCUUCUUGUGGUAGGCUCAAUAGACUACCACAAGUCUUACAUGAGCUCACAUUCCUUACGGUGAUGGAAAUUUAUAAUUGUCGAGGCUUGGUUUCUUUUGCAGAGAAUAACUUACCUCCUAAUUUAAAAAAGCUGAAGAUUGCAGACUGUGAGAAUUUGGAGUACUUGGUUGAUGAAAAAGAAGAUAAUAAGAGUAUGAGUAGUAUCCUCUGUCUUCUUGAGGACUUGGAAAUAUUUGAGUGUCUAUCUCUAAUGUCUUUGUCAUCGAAGGGGCACAAAAAUAUUUGCAAUCAGCUUCAAUUUCUCGAAAUUUCCGCAUGCUCAAAGCUAAGUUGCCUAUUUUCAAACACCAUGUUUCCCAUAACGCUUAAACAUUUAACAAUUAGGGGAUGUCCAGAGUUGGAAUACAUAGCCCAGGAGUUUGAGGAAACCGCUUGUCUUGAAUCUAUUGUAAUUUUCAGAUCUGGAAUUAAAUCUCUACCACGAGGACUAGACAAGCUCAUCCAUCUCCAGGAGAUUUGUUUGGGUUUGUGUUCAAAUUUGGUUCCUUUUGAAGAAAGUGGGUUGCUCACCACCAGCUUCAGAGCUUUCUUAGUUGAUCGUUGUGGAAAAUUUGGAACCCUUCCUAAGUGCAUGGCCAGCAUCACCUCCCUUCGAGAAUUACGUGUGUGCAACUGUUUGGCUGACAUAUCAUUUCCAUCGGAGAGAUUCCCUGUGAAUCUCACAUCACUUGCAAUCUCAAACGCACCCAAAAUUUAUAGGUCACUUGUGGAAUGGGGAUUAAAUAGACUCACCUCUCUUCAAAAAUUGGCCAUCGGAGGUGGAGGAUGCUCAAACGUGGUGUCGUUCCCAGAAGAAGGGAUUGGAAUAAUGCUGCCUCCUUCUCUCACCCGUAUCUCCCUUUCAGAAUUUGAGAACCUGGAAUUCAUGUUCUCCGAGGGCUUUCAAGACCUCGCCUCUCUUAAAGAAUUGGUGAUC
rnacentral:lncRNA from 1 species